UACGGAGGGUGCGAGCGUUGUCCGGAAUCACUGGGCGUAAAGGGCGCGUAGGCGGCUCGGUAAGCGUGCGGUGAAAGCCUGGGGCUCAACCCCGGGUCGACCGUGCGAACUGUCGAGCUCGAGCACUGUAGAGGCAGGCGGAAUUCCGGGUGUAGCGGUCGAAUGCGUAGAGAUCCGGAAGAACACCGGUGGCGAAGGCGGCCUGCUGGGCAGUAGCUGACGCUGAGGCGCGACAGCGUGGGGAGCAAACAGG
rnacentral:rRNA from 1 species